AAUAUCACACGGCAUGCUGGGUAGAAUAUGGCAACUCUGUCUAUAAUAUAACUCAGCAUGCUGACUGUAAUUAUACAAUAUUCCAUCCUGUUAUAUAUUAGUCAGCAUGUUGUUAUAUUAUAUACAGAGUUGCCAUAUUCUACCCAGCAUGCUGUGAUAUU